CUAAAUAUAUGACUCUAGGCUUCCAAUGCAACGUCUCAAAGUGCUGUUUCAGCUUGUUUAGUUUGAUCCCUUUUAUCCUCCUCCGUACGCACAAAGGGCAGUGAUAAAGUUUUCCUUUGCAGUCAUCACACGAUAAUUCGUUACAUCUCGUAAACAAAUCGUUGGUAAUGUUGGCUGUACUUUUCCAUAUAGAACUUGGACGCUUAAAUAGUUAAAAUAAACUGUAUAUAUUAUAUAGCAC